GCCAUUGUGGUGUAGUGGUUUGAGUGUUGGGCUACAACUCUGGAGACCAGGGUUCAAUUCCCAGCUCAGCCA